rnacentral:rRNA from 1 species
AUUGAACGCUGGCGGCAUGCCUUACACAUGCAAGUCGAACGGCAGCACGGGAGCAAUCCUGGUGGCGAGUGGCGAACGGGUGAGUAAUAUAUCGGAACGUGCCCAGUCGUGGGGAUAACGUAGCGAAAGCUACGCUAAUACCGCAUACGAUCUAUGGAUGAAAGCGGGGGGAUCGCAAGACCUCGCGCGAUUGGAGCGGCCGAUAUCAGAUUAGGUAGUUGGUGAGGUAAAGGCUCACCAAGCCGACGAUCUGUAGCUGGUCUGAGAGGACGACCAGCCACACUGGGACUGAGACACGGCCCAGACUCCUACGGGAGGCAGCAGUGGGGAAUAUUGGACAAUGGGCGAAAGCCUGAUCCAGCCAUGCCGCGUGUGUGAAGAAGGUCUUCGGAUUGUAAAGCACUUUAAGUUGGGAGGAAGGGUAGUAACCUAAUACGUUGCUACUUUGACGUUACCGACAGAAUAAGCACCGGCUAACUUCG